CGGCAUGGAUUGCAUAGAAAGUAGGGGCCUUCAGCUUGGGCUGAAGUCAGGUAAGGGAUAGUGUGGCCCAUGGGCAAUGAGAUCCAUUUGGAGUUGGCUAAAAAUAUUAAAAUGGCCUCAGAUACUUACUAGCCAUAUUACCCAGACAAGUCACUUCACCCUGUUUGCCUCAGUUUCUCGUCUUUCAAACUCACUGGAAAAGGAAAUAAUAAACAAACAAACAAAAAGGCCCAGAUGAGCUCAUGAAGAAUCAGACACAACUAAAACAACUGAAUGGUAACAAUAAUAACAACAAUAAACUAUGUGAAGUGCCCUCGAUGUCCGGAUUGGAGCUGGCAUCAGAGAAGGAAACAAAUGGGCAUUCUUGGAGCUGGAAGUGAGAAUUGAGAUUCAGUACUAUAUCAGGGUCAGGGAUUAGUGGAGCAAUUGGGGCAAAGGGUGGGUCAUCAAGUUUGGGAGAUCAAGACUGACUUUAGACAUUCGAAACAGAAAGCAGAUGUUGGUUGGUUCAGAGCUCUGUUUCACGGUGAUUGGAAGUCAAGUAAAAACCUGAUGACCACAUCAGGAGCUUGGAGUGGCCAUCUCCCUUAUAGAUGGGACUAGCUGCUCCAGCCAGGUUGGACAUCUGGGGACAAGCUCACUGAUGGUCAUUUUUACAGAUGGAAGGGGUCACAAAGGCGCCGGACAUCUGUAUUACCACUCAGUCACAGGCUGUUGCACCAAGCUCGCAAUCUAAGCCGGGAACUCUGUCUGCUGCUGAGCUUGGCUGGUCUAUCCGUCGUUGCUCUGCUCUCUCUGCACGAUUCAUGGAUUCGUUUCCACGUGCCAUUGGGUAAGCCCGGCAACUUCACCUUCAUUGACAUCUACACAUCAAUCUUUGUUCCCUGCCCAGAGACUGAAUGCACACUGGAGCCUGAUGAGCCACCCUAUUACCUGAAUUUCUCCGUCACCUUCAUCCUCAUUGCCACCCUCAUCAGUUUCCUUCUGUGCCUGGCCUUGGCCUACACCAUUCUCUUCUUCAGAGGCUCGGUGCCCAUCAUUGACCUCACCAUCUCCAUUAUGAGCUUCAGUACAGGCCUCUUGCUGUUCCUGUGUGCCCUGUUCUACCUGCUUCAGGCCCGGAAUUUCCUGCAGAAUGGAAUGAGCUACACCCUGGAGACAAACUACUACCUGGCAUGGCUAGGCAUUUUCCUCUAUAUGCUGACAGGUGGGGAUGAGAGCUGGGACUCAGGAGCAAGGGGUGAACAUGGGUAGAGGCUGGGAUUGGGGAUGAGGUUGAGGCUGGGACCCUGACUGAGGACAGACGUUGUUGUCAGACUAGGACAGGGAGAUGAGAGGCUAAGAAAGGAGGUCUAUGAGGAUUUCAGAUGAGAUGUCCUGGGUUCAAAUGUGGCCUCAGAUACUUUGUAGCUGUGUGACCCUGGGCAAGUCACUUAAUCUCCAUUGCCUAACCCUUGCCACUCUUCUGGCUCAGAAUCAGUACACAGUAUUAAUUCUAAGUUCAGGGCAAAAAGUCCAAGGAUAUGGGUUCAAAUCCUUCCUCCAAAGGGUACUUUCUAUGUGAUCUGGGGCGUGUUUCCCCCAAGUAAAAUGACCUGGUUGAACUAGCUGGACUCUGCUUUAAGUCUGUGGUCUUGAGAAAUAGUGACAUUUGGGAUAGGGAAGGAUCUGGACUGAGGAUGGACAUGGAAAGAGGAGCAGAUGUAAAGCAGGAAUAGGGGUGGGAGGAUGGAGAGGGGAGGCAGUGACUCCUGCCAUUCUCCCCUUCUCAUAGGCUUCUUUUGCUUCCUCAACUAUGCGAAUUUCUGGUCUAUGAUGACACCUGGAGGGGCCUGGCUUUAGGCUUUGAGGUGGAUUCCUACCCUGGACCCUGCCCUCCCUGCUUCUUACCCUCACGCCAAGCCUUCCCAGCUGGGACUGUCGCUCUCCCUGGCUGAUCCCUUCUGUUCCCUCUUGACUCCUCAGCUUAAUAAACUGGCGUGUCCUCACUCUCCCCA
ensembl:lncRNA